GACGAACGCUGGCGGCGUGCUUAACACAUGCAAGUCGAACGGAAAGGCCCUGCUUUUGUGGGGUGCUCGAGUGGCGAACGGGUGAGUAACCCGUGAGUAACCUGCCCUUGACUGUGGGAUGACUUCAGAAAACUGGGGCUAAUACCGGGUAGGAGCUCCUGCUGCAUGGUGGGGGUUGGAAAGUUUCGGUGGUUGGGGAUGGACUCGCGGCGUAUCAGCUUGUUGGUGGGGUAGUGGCUUACCAAGGCUUGGACGGGUAGCCGGCCUGAGAGGGUGAGCGGCCACAUGGGGCUUGAGAUACGGCCCAGACUCGUACGGGAGGCAGCAGUGGGGAAGAUUGCACAAUGGGCGGAAGGCUGAUGCAGCAACGCCGCGUGCGGGAUGACGGCCUUCGGGUUGGAAUCCGCUUUCGCCUGGGACGAAGCGUGAGUGACGGUAAUGGGUAAAGAAGCACCGGCUAACUACGUG
rnacentral:rRNA from 1 species